AGGGUUAUAGUUUAAAAAAAACAAUUAACUUGCUAUUAAUAAUUAUAAUUAUAAUUAACCUUA
rnacentral:tRNA from 1 species